ensembl:snRNA U6 U6 spliceosomal RNA
GUGCUCUGGCAGCACGUAUACUAAAAUUGGAAUUAUACAGAGAUUAGCAUGGCCCCUGCACAAAUGAUCACAUGCAAAUUUGUGAAGCGUUCCAUAUUUUA